UACGUAGGGGGCGAGCGUUGUCCGGAUUUAUUGGGCGUAAAGAGCUCGUAGGCGGUUCGAUAAGUCGGAUGUGAAAUCUCCACGCUCAACGUGGAGGGGCCAUUCGAUACUGUCGUGACUCGAGUCCGGUAGGGGAGUGUGGAAUUCCCGGUGUAGCGGUGAAAUGCGCAGAGAUCGGGAGGAACACCAGUGGCGAAGGCGGCUUCCUGGCCUGUUCUUGACGCUGAGGCGCGAAAGCUAGGGGAGCAAACGGG
rnacentral:rRNA from 1 species